rnacentral:rRNA from 1 species
AGAAUCUUUCUCAAUGGGCGAAAGCCUGAAGGAGCGACGCCGCGUGGGGGUUGACGGUCUUCGGAUUGUAAACCCCUGUCACUUGGGAACAAAUUAUAUGACCUAACACGUCAUGUAUUGAUAGUACCAGGAGAGGAAUACGUUGCUAACUCUGUGCCAGCAGCCGCGGUAAUACAGAGACGUCGAGCGUUGUUCGGAUUCAUUGGGCGUAAAGGGUGCGUAGGCGGGCGGGUAAGGCGGUUGUGAAAUCCCAAAGCUCAACUGUGGAAGUGCGACCGAAACUAUUCGGCUAGAGGACUGGAGGGGGGACUGGAAUUCUCGGUGUAGCGGUGAAAUGCGUGGAUAUCGAGAGGAACACCUGUGGCGAAGGCGGGUCCCUGGACAGUUCCUGACGCUGAGGCACGAAAGCUAGGGUAGCAAAC